rnacentral:rRNA from 1 species
CCUACGGGAGGCAGCAGUCGAGAAUCAUUCACAAUGGGGGAGACCCUGAUGGUGCGACGCCGCGUGAGGGAAUAAAGUUCUUCGUAUUGUAAACCCCUGUCAUGUGGGAACAAAGUAAAAGAAUAGUACCACGAUAGGGAUAGACGGCUAACUAGGUUCGAGCAACUGCGGUAAUACAGAGGUCUCAAGCGUUGUGCGGAAUCAAUGGGCGUAAAGCGUGCGUAGGCUGUGUUGUAAGUCGUGUGUGAAAGGCGCGGGCUCAAACCGCGGAAGACAAAUGAUACUGGGAGACUAGAGUAAUGGAGGGGGAACCGGAAUUCGCGGUGUAGCAGUGAAAUGCGUAGAUAUCGCGAGGAACCCUCGUGGCGAAGGCAGGUUCCUGGACAUUAACUGACGCUGAGGCACGAAGGCCAGGGGAGCGAAAGGGAUUAGAUACCCUUGUAGUC